UACGUAGGGUGCAAGCGUUGUCCGGAAUUAUUGGGCGUAAAGAGCUCGUAGGCGGUCUGUUGCGUCGGCUGUGAAAACCCGGGGCUCAACUCCGGGCCUGCAGCCGAUACGGGCAGACUAGAGUUCGGCAGGGGAGGCUGGAAUUCCUGGUGUAGCGGUGAAAUGCGCAGAUAUCAGGAGGAACACCGGUGGCGAAGGCGGGUCUCUGGGCCGAUACUGACGCUGAGGAGCGAAAGCGUGGGGAGCAAACAGG
rnacentral:rRNA from 1 species